UACAGAGGGGGCAAGCGUUAUUCGGAAUUACUGGGCGUAAAGCGCACGCAGGCGGUCUGUCAAGUCGGAUGUGAAAUCCCCGGGCUCAACCUGGGAACUGCAUUCGAAACUGGCAGGCUAGAGUCUUGUAGAGGGGGGUAGAAUUCCAGGUGUAGCGGUGAAAUGCGUAGAGAUCUGGAGGAAUACCGGUGGCGAAGGCGGCCCCCUGGACAAAGACUGACGCUCAGGUGCGAAAGCGUGGGGAGCAAACAGG
rnacentral:rRNA from 1 species